rnacentral:rRNA from 1 species
AAUCAACGCUGGCGGCGUGCCUAACACAUGCAAGUCGAACGAGAAAGUGGAGCAAUCCAUGAGUAAAGUGGCGCACGGGUGAGUAACACGUGACUAACCUACCCAGGAGUGGGGGAUAACUGAGGGAAACCUUAGCUAAUACCGCAUAACACCUACGGGUCAAAGGAGCAAUUCGCUUCUGGAGGGGGUCGCGGCCGAUUAGUUAGUUGGCAGGGUAAUGGCCUACCAAGACGAUGAUCGGUAUCCGGCCUGAGAGGGCGCACGGACACACUGGAACUGAAACACGGUCCAGACUCCUACGGGAGGCAGCAGUGGGGAAUUUUGCGCAAUGGGGGAAACCCUGACGCAGCAACGCCGCGUGGAGGAUGAAGUCCUUCGGGACGUAAACUCCUUUCGAUCGGGACGAUUAUGACGGUACCGGAAGAAGAAGCCCCGGCUAACUUCGUGCCAGCAGCCGCGGUAAUACGAGGGGGGCGAGCGUUGUUCGGAAUUAUUGGGCGUAAAGGGUGCGUAGGCGGUUUGGUAAGUCUGAUGUGAAAUCUAUGGGCUCAACUCAUAGUCUGCAUCGGAAACUGCCGGGCUUGAGUGUGGGAGAGGUGAGUGGAAUUCCUGGUGUAGCGGUGAAAUGCGUAGAUAUCAGGAGGAACACCUGUGGCGAAAGCGGCUCACUGGACCAUAACUGACGCUGAUGCACGAAAGCUAGGGGAGCAAACAGGAUUAGAUACCCUGGUAGUCCUAGCCCUAAACGAUGACUGCUUGGUGUGACGGGUACCCAAUCCCGCCGUGCCGUAGCUAACGCGUUAAGCAGUCCGCCUGGGGGAGUACGGUCGCAAGGCUGAAACUCAAGGAAUUGACGGGGGCCCGCACAAGCGGUGGANCAUGUGGUUUAAUUCGACGCACGCGAAGAACUU